AGCCGGAGAUCGGAGGAAGAGCAGUAGUGCAGAGCCAACCUCAGGUUCACAGAGGAGGAGUUGCAGAGUGACCAGACUCAACAGCAAAUAGAAAUUGUGAAAAAACUGGGGUAGGGCAUCACUGUAUGGGACUGUUUUUAUGCUUUUAUACUAUCAAAUAUAUUUUUAAUAAAACACAUUUCCACAGAA